UACGUAGGGUGCAAGCGUUAAUCGGAAUUACUGGGCGUAAAGCGUGCGCAGGCGGUUUUGUAAGACAGGUGUGAAAUCCCCGGGCUUAACCUGGGAACUGCAUUUGUGACUGCAAAGCUGGAGUGCGGCAGAGGGGGAUGGAAUUCCGCGUGUAGCAGUGAGAUGCGUAGAUAUGCGGAGGAACACCGAUGGCGAAGGCAAUCCCCUGGGCCUGCACUGACGCUCAUGCACGAAAGCGUGGGGAGCAAACAGG
rnacentral:rRNA from 1 species